AUUCCCAGAUGAGACUGAAGCCUGUAAACGCUGCAACUGUAGAAGAUCCAGAUGUUUGACACUGGUGAUGAAAACUUGAUGAACACUCCAUCAGCCAGGCACAAAAGCGGAUGCAAAUACAAGAAGUCAAAAUGCCUAAAAUAGUAUUGCGAGUGCUAUCGGGCUAAGGAUGCCACUAUGAGGAUUGUGACAAUUCUUUUGGCAAUAAGUCGGAAUCAAUGUUCCAGAGAGUGGAAAAACAGCAGAAUCAGUCUCAUGAGAUGCUAAAUACAGCUCAAGUUAUGUCUGACAGCACCUUGGCCAGGACUGCUAAUUCGUUUUCAUCAAUGUGGGAAAAACUCGUCUGACAUCCUCCCUCAAGAUUACAUGAUAUGAGGGACUGUCAAAAUGUCUCACAAGCUGAAUCAGAAAACGGAACUUGCUACUCCUCUGCCUUGAGUCCUAAGCAACCAUGUCGGAGUAAGGAGAUUGAUAAUAUCUGUGAGAUCAUGGUAGAUGGUUUUCCUGACUACCACAUGGAAACCUCCAACCCCAUCGACACAGUGAAAUCUGGCUCGGGUUUGGGGCUCUAUAAUGGUGGUACGUGACAAUCUUAACACAGUGAAGGCAAUUCCUUUGGAGUACGUGGGAUACUACCGUUAGAUGUGGACACUUUGAAGCCUAAUCUCAUUGAAGGGAAAGUUUUGAGUUCGCUAUCUGAUUCGCAAAGAGAAAAAAGUUGUUGACCAAAUAUUUGUAUGCUUUGCUUCUCCAUUCAUUUUCUGAACUUUUUUUCAGUUUAAAAACAAUAACAGAAUAUUUAAAUUAAUUAUGUUAUUAUGCAUGGACAAUAUGCUGAUUAUUGCCCAAUGCCCCAAUGAUAAACUUUUGCUUGUGCAAGCAUCAAUAAAGAGGGGAAUGUGCUCCUACUGUAUCUUUAAAACACUAUUUUUUUCUUCUCUUGUAUAUUGAUCUUACCAUAGAACUUCAGCUUAAUGAUGUGGAAUAAUUGCCUCUGUUUUCAACUUACUAUCCUAGUGGGAUAGUCUGAUAGGUUUUUGGACGAGGAAGACACAGAGUGGAUGCCAGCUCGUAUUGGACUUGUUUUGGGCCUUGAUUUAGUUAGUUAGAUGGGUCCUUUUUUCUUCUUUUUUUCUUUUGUUUUCUUUUUAUCUCUUCCUCCUUUAUUGUCCUUUCUAACAAACCGCUGCCGCUGCCUCCGCCUCCCACACUUUCCAGCGUCUUACCUCCUAUCAGGGCAGCUUCCUUCCCAUCAUUCAAAAUCUAAAUCCUCUAAUAUAUCUAAUCAUUUCAUAGCUCCCUCGUUUCUUCGCCAAUUCUCUCACUCUCGCUCUCUUUUCAAUUUUUUCCUGUCAUUCUUUUUUAGCUUUGGGUAACUACAGGCCAAAAAAUCACACGCUACAGUCGGAAGAGAGUUUUCGUGAGAGAGAAACCCUAAGUUUUCUCUGGCAUUUCUGGUUUUUUUUUAUUUUUUAAAUCUGCCGCUUCAUCGGAGACGCAUAUCAGAAAAUGAAGGUUUCUCUUUUGAGGACGUCGGCCAUUCAUAUCAACCCAAGGUUCAAGCAUUACACACCACUUAAAUCCGGAUAUUAGCUUUGUGAUUAUGUACUUGGAAGUAGUUCCGGGUUGUUUGGUUCUUGAAUCCGGGACCGGUAGUGGCUCAUUAACAACAUCGUUUGCAAGGGCUGUGGCACCAACGGGA